AAAAAUAAGAAGAUGAAGACUUUACAUGAUUUUUUUUAUGAAAAAUCUACAAAACCUAAUUCUGAUGACAUUGAUCCAGAUGAUCCAUUAAUAUUGACACCUAGCACAAGUGAUGUAGUAAAAACUGUGCAUCAAAUAAAAGAAGUACCUGGUAUGAAUUAAAUAGUAAAAUAUUAAAUAAUAAAUAAACUUUGAAGUUUGAGUAUAAUUUCUGCAGUUGGAAAUUUAAUUAAUCUUAUAACCAGUGAAAAUGAAUACGUUUGUUUAUCAAAUACAUUUGACAUUAAUAUCGACGAUUUAAAAAGUGAAAUCAAACUACUGAAAAAUUUUUCAAACACAGAAAUGCCUAAAGGUACAUCAACGGUAACUAUAACACAGUGGCUUCAAAGUUCAAUGGCUAAAUCAUUCUGACAGAGCAGAUAUUUUUAUUAACUUCAAUAAAGCAUUACAAUUAUUUACUACAAUCCCUGUAACAAGUUGUUCAUGCGAGAGAGCAUUUUCCAAGCUUAACAUUGUAAAGUCAAAACUUCGGGCUAGUAUGGAUCAAGAGCGUCUUGACAGCUUAUUUUUUAUGAAUAUUGAACAAGAAGUAUGCACAAAAAUUGAUUAUGGGGAAAUAAUCGAAGAAUUCAAGACAUUAGGUCCAGGAAAUCGACGAUUAGUCUUAUAACUAUUUGUUAGGUGGUUUAGUGUACUUAUUAUAUGUAGUAAUGUGUAAUUCUGUAUAAAUAUAGUCUUUUUUUAUUUUAACCGUA